AAACCGGAGCUAAUACCGGAUAAUAUAUUGAACCGCAUGGUUCAAUAGUGAAAGACGGUUUUGCUGUCACUUAUAGAUGGAUCCGCGCCGCAUUAGCUAGUUGGUAAGGUAACGGCUUACCAAGGCAACGAUGCGUAGCCGACCUGAGAGGGUGAUCGGCCACACUGGAACUGAGACACGGUCCAGACUCCUACGGGAGGCAGCAGUG
rnacentral:rRNA from 1 species